AUGAUGGUCCAGAGCAAGUUUCUGCUCAAGCGCCGCACGUUGGUGGCAGCCAUGGUGCUGGACCUGCUUGGCCUCGUCAUCGCCUAUGCUGCCGGGUGCACCAGGGAUACCAGCACAUCCAUCUAUGUCGUUGCGGUGGCUUGCCUUGUCCUCUCCUAUGCUGUCGUCCAUAUCGCGUUAGGAGGAGAGAAGGAGAACAUGGUCACUAGACCUGUUCAUGACCUUGAUCCUGCUACGGUUGAUCCUGCUCCUUCUACUCCUGUUACUGCUACUGCUACCGCUACCACUGCUCCUGCUCCUGCUCUUCUUGUAGGAGGAGAAGGAGGACAACGUCAGCAGCGGCGACCACCACGAAGCAAGGAGCAGCUAGAUGACAAGCGUCAGGUGUUGCUGCUAAUCGCCAUCUUAGCCGGGGCACUUACCUACCAAGCCGGGCUGACCCCGCCUGGGGGCUUCUGGCAAGCGGACGAUGAUAAGCUUGGACACCGCGCGGGCUACCCAGUCCUCCUCGACAACUACCCGCGUCGCUACAAGGCCUUCUUCUACUGCAACGCGGCGAGCUUCAUGUCGUCGGUGGCUCUCAUCCUCCUCCUCGUGAACCGCAAGUUGUACAGGUUGGGUAUUCGGUGCUACGCGCUCCACGUGUGCAUGGCCGUGGGCAUGUUGGCGCUCAUGGGUGCCUACGCUUCAGGGAGCUCCCGCCAUCUCAAGACCUCCAUCUACGUGCUGACGCUGGUGGUGGUGGUGUCAGCCUCCAUACCCCUGCAGGUAGCCAUCUUCUGGUACUUCCGCAACCACGCGGACAACCGUCAAGAUUCAUUAAGAAUAAGACGACGACGAGCACGUGGACAAGAAGGCCCUGAUAAAGAGAAAGACGAGGAACUUGAGUACCUGAUGCUGCUAGCGGUCCUGGCUGCGAGCGUGACGUACCAGAGCGGCCUGAGGCCAGCGGGCGGCAUGUGGCAGGAGGACAGUGCCGCCUACUCCGCCGGCAACCCCAUCCUACGCGACAUCAACAAGCGCCGGUACGACAUCUUCCUGUAUAGCAACUCCACUUCGUUCAUGGCGUCCGUCGUUGCCAUCGUCAUGCUACUGCCAUUGACGCUGAGCGACGACGUCAAAUGGCUACAACGCUGCUUGCCAUUCCACAAGGUGGACCUCAAGUGGUCGCUCUGGCCGGUCCACACGGCCAUUUUGCUGGACAUGCUCGGCCUACUUGUGGCCUAUGCGGCAGGAAGUACCAAGAAGUGGGAGUCGUCCAGAAAUGUGAUAUUACUCGUCCUCCCCGUCCUAGCCUACAUUGCGCUCUACGCAAUGGCGGCGGCGAUAUACAUAUACAUCCGCCGUGGAUCCUCCCAGUCACAGUCACCGAGCAGGCAAGCAGGCCAACAAGCAACCAGCGUCGAGUCUUCCUCUUAG
rnacentral:rRNA from 1 species